rnacentral:rRNA from 1 species
GUGAACGAUACAGAGAUGUUGAGGCCCUUCGGGGCGCUGGUGGAGGUGCUGCAUGGUUGUCGUCAGCUCGUGCCGUGAGGUGUCGGCUUAAGUGCCAUAACGAGCGCAACCCCUUUUUUCAGUUGCCAUCAGGUAAUGCUGGGCACUCUGGAGAUACUGCCACCGCAAGGUGUGAGGAAGGUGGGGAUGACGUCAAAUCAGCACGGCCCUUACGUCCGGGGCUACACACGUGUUACAAUGGGGCAUACAGAGUGUUGGCUUAACGCAAGUUUGGUCUAAUCUUCAAAGUGUCUCCCAGUUCGGACUGGGGUCUGCAACCCGACCCCACGAAGCUGGAUUCGCUAGUAAUCGCGCAUCAGCCAUGGCGCGGUGAAUACGUUCCCGGGCCUUGUACACACCGCCCGUCAAGCCAUGAAAGCCGGGG